rnacentral:rRNA from 1 species
AACGAACGCUGGCGGCAUGCCUAACACAUGCAAGUCGAACGAGAUCUUCGGGUCUAGUGGCGCACGGGUGCGUAACGCGUGGGAAUCUGCCCUUUGGUUCGGAAUAACAGUUGGAAACGACUGCUAAUACCGGAUGAUGACGAAAGUCCAAAGAAUUAUCGCCAGAGGAUGAGCCCGCGUAGGAUUAGCUAGUUGGGGUGGUAAAGGCGCACCAAGGCGACGAUCCUUAGCUGGUCUGAGAGGAUGAUCAGGCACACUGGGACUGAGACACGGCCCAGACUCCGACGGGAGGCAGCAGUGGGGAAUAUUGGACAAUGGGCGAAAGCCUGAUCCAGCAAUGCCGCGUGAGUGAUGAAGGCCUUAGGGUUGUAAAGCUCUUUUACCCGGGAUGAUAAUGACAGUACCGGGAGAAUAAGCUCCGGCUAACUCCGUGCCAGCAGCCGCCGUAA